AUGAACGCUGGCGGCGUGCCUAAUACCUGCAAGUCGAGCGAACAGACGAGGAGCUUGCUCCUCUGACGUUAGCGGCGGACGGGUGAGUAACACGUGGAUAACCUACCUAUAAGACUGGGAUAACUUCGGGAAACCGGAGCUAAUACCGGAUAAUAUAUUGAACCGCAUGGUUCAAUAGUGAAAGACGGUUUUGCUGUCACUUAUAGAUGGAUCCGCGCCGCAUUAGCUAGUUGGUAAGGUAACGGCUUACCAAGGCAACGAUGCGUAGCCGACCUGAGAGGGUGAUCGGCCACACUGGAACUGAGACACGGUCCAGACUCCUACGGGAGGCAGCAGUAGGGAAUCUUCCGCAAUGGGCGAAAGCCUGACGGAGCAACGCCGCGUGAGUGAUGAAGGUCUUCGGAUCGUAAAACUCUGUUAUUAGGAAAGAACAAAUGUGUAAGUAACUAUGCACGUCUUGACGGUACCUAAUCAGAAAGCCACGGCUAACUACGUG
rnacentral:rRNA from 1 species